rnacentral:rRNA from 1 species
ACGAGACUAGAGGGCAACUUUUAGUUUAGUGGCGAAAGGGUUAGUAAUACAUGAAUAACUUACCCCUUACCUGGGGAUAACGACUGGAAACAGGCGCUAAUACCGAAUGAGGUACCGAUAAAUAAUUAUUGGCUAUCAAAGUGGGGGACCUUGUAAAGAGGCCUUGCGGUAAAGGAUAGGUUCAUGGGAUAUCAGCUAGUUGGUGUGGUAAUGGCGCACCAAGG